rnacentral:misc_RNA from 1 species
GCAUAGUGAGCAGGGAGACAGGUAUAAUUCAAUUUAGGUAACUUGAUAAUACUUGCUGUUUAUAUUUGUUUCUUUGGGUGGUAGUUCCUGGUUGGAGGCAAGUGAUUUACUUUUGAAGAUUAAUUGAUCUUUAGAUGUUUAUGGGUUUGGCACUUUCUUAAAUAUAAUAGUCAGAAAAUAUUAAAAAAUAAUUAAAAAUUAA